rnacentral:rRNA from 1 species
CAGUCGCCACGGUAAAACGUAGGGGGCGAGCGUUGUCCGAAGUUACUGGGCGUAAAGAGCGCGUAGGCUGGUCUUUAAGUGAGUGGUGAAAGGUUCGGGCUCAACCCGGACACUGCCUUUCAUACUGGGGACCUUGAGUGUGGGAGAGGCGAGUGGAAUGGUCGGUGUAGCGGUGAGAUGCGUAGAUAUCGAUCGGAACACCCAUGGCGAAGGCAGCUCGCUGGCCUAACACUGACGCUGAGGCGCGAAAGCGUGGGGAGCAAACAGGAUUAGAUACCCCCGUAGUCCCUGUCUCUUAUAC